GUUUGGGUUGAUCGUAUCCCUGCUUGGAUUAAAUAUGCCACCGUGGACCCAGCCAGGUUCGCAGCACCAUAUGAUGGUGUGUACUGGGAUCCACCACCAUCAGAAAGGUGCCAUUUAUUCAUACUUUCCUCUUCUAAGCUGCAUUAGUGAAAAAAAUGGUUAAUUGAUAUGCAGAGUUUCCGGGGAACAUAAAUUCUUGCAUCUAAGUCCAAAAGCUAGAAACAUGCUUCAUAACAUAUUAUAAAAGUCAGAUUGCAAAUUACACUUAAAUAAUCUUUUGGAACUUCUACCUUGGCUUGGCCCAUUUCAUCCAAACAAGAGAGUCUUUUGACCAUGCAGGUUUCAGUUUAAGCAUCCUCAUCCUCCAAAACCCAAAGCUCCGCGAAUAU
rnacentral:lncRNA from 1 species